rfam:Ixodes scapularis strain Wikel colony gcontig_1108378830326, whole genome shotgun sequence.
GCAGUCGUGGCCGAGUGGUUAAGGCGAUGGACUAGAGAUUCAUUGGGGUCUCCCCACACAGGUUCGAAUUCUGUAAACUGUG